rnacentral:lncRNA from 1 species
AAAUAAUCAAAGUGCUAAGUCAACAACAAUUAUCUCUAACAAAGAAGGAAUUUCCACAAGUUCAAUUUUAUGCAAGGGAGAAUAUUCAAACACUAAUAAUUUGAAUUUAGGCCGCCUUAAUGAUACAAAUAAUUCUCUCUAGUGAAAAAGUAUACGAGGUAGGUCAAUUCAAAAAGCAGUUUUCAAGCAACCUUACUUCUGUGCCAAGUCCUUUGAUCUUUUUAGUUGCACGUUAUCAUGAAAAGUGUAGCGCUUUUGUCGAAUAUAAAUAUUAAAAAUAUUAUUCUCUGGUCGCUUAAGUUUUUAGAAAACAAUGAUUGUUUCACAUAAUUUUAAUAUGGUAUCAGAGUAACUCCUAGCGUUAUCUAAUUUUCUUCUAUUUAAUUCAAAUCUACGUCUACGGCCUAUCAAAAGUUUCGACACCAGAUACAAGGGAGAGUGUCGAAUAUAAAUGUUAAAAACGUUGUUCUUUGAUAGCUUAAGCUUUUUAGAGAACAAGAGUUGUUUCACAUAAUUUAACAGCUUCAAACCGAAGAAACAGUAAACAUUGAUACUCCCACACAUAAUCUUUUUAUGGCCAUGCGAAGAAUGAAAAUACAUUAUCAGAAGGUUUGUAAAUUGCCUCGCUUCCCGUCCAAUUACGAAAAAAUUCAUCUACGGCCAACGAAAUAAGGAAAACUUGUGAGACCCUAAGUAGUUCUAUAUAUAACAUAUAAUAUAACUAAAAACUUUUAACUCGACUAUAAUAUUUUGGACGGUGGUUAGGCCGAAAAGGUUAAGAGAAUUAAGUGUAGUAUUGCUAGAGUAGUCCUAGGAUGGGUGAACUCCUAGGAAGUGGGGCGGUCACAAUUAGUAUCAGAGUCAAUUACUAGUCGGAAGUGUGAGAUGAGUCUCAGUUGAGUCAGGUUGUACAGCGGAGAGAGCGAGGCUCUUAUGUUGAUGACUGUUGUAGAUAGAGCACGAUUUUUCCAUAAGGUCGGUUAAGACUAGCGAGACGAGUCUCACACAUCGUCUAGUACUUACGAGUCUGACGAGAACGUCAGGACUUAAAGGGAGGGUAAUAUGUGAGACCCUAAAUAGCCCUAUAUAUAAAACAUAGGGUUAAAUGCAUACAGCUCCCUAUAAAUAUAGUGAAUCACAAAUAUGUCCUUACAAAAUUCAACUUUCAUAUAUUAUCCCCACAAAAGUUCUAAUGUUUUCAAAUAUGUCUCCCUAAUUUGUUGUCGUUAGAGAAAUGUUUAUAUUUUAACAGCAAACAAGUAAAAUGUCAAUUUUGCCAUCACAAAUAUAUCUCUCCAAAAAUCACAACAGUAUUAUUAUAAUAUAAAAUGAGUAAAAGUAUCAAGUUAUCGCAUAAACUAACCAAGGUUAAGUAUUUAAAAAGACAUAAUUCACAACAAAAUACUCCAACAAUGACGAGAGUUUGUAAAUUAAACAAGAGUUCAAGAGUUCAAUUCUCGGCGCCUUUAACCAUAUAGAACUUGAAGAACAAAACAAAGGACACAAAAAAGUGCAAACAUAUACAGAAUCAUAGAAAAUGCAUUUGUAAGUAACAGAGAACUCCAUAGCUUAGCAACUACAUGGUCUCCGGAUUUUGAUCACUGUAUUCAUUCUCAUCAUUUAGCAUCGACACAAAGUUUCGACAUCGAUAAAAGUUUCGACACCGAGAAUGAUUUAACGAUGGCACGAUACUGAGUCCUAUGAUACACAGUUUUGAAAAGUGAAAGAUAAAUGCAACAAAAGUAUACGAUACAUGAAACUCGACAAGAGCCUUAAAAAGUAGUAGUGCUUUGUUUAUUUACAUCUCAUUUCAUAAAUAGAAGCAAAAUAUCACUCUAAAAAUGAAAAGGACAAUGAAAAAAAAAAGAAGAAAUAAACAUACACCUAAAAAUUUCAUACUCUAACAAACGAAAUACAUCGCCAACAUAUUGAUUUUGGCAAAAGUUUACUGUAUCAAAACUAUCAACACAAAAGAACAAAAGCCAACAAAAAGGUAAAAAGAAAAAAAAAAUCACGCAAAUAUUAUAAAACAAUGAUUCACACAUUCAACCUUAUUAAAGAAUACAGUGUGUGUAUAUAUAUAUAUAUAUAUGUAUAUAUAUAUAUAUAUAGAGAGAGAGAGAGAGAGAGAGAGAGAGAGAGAUUCAUCGUAGCAGCGGUAGCCGAGACUCCUCUCUCGAUUUCCUGCCAUAGUAGGCAUAUAGCAACAAUUGUGCAACACCCAAGACGGUUCCGAUCCCAUUUGGAAUCUGAAAUUCAAACACAUAAAUGAAAGGAGAAUCAAUUUACAAUUACCGCAUUUGUUUGAUUUCUUUUUGAGAAAUACUCGGUUACUCGACAGUAUUCUGUAACUCUUUCGUCAGAAUCCUCUAUUCAAUUUAGAAGAACAACUCGAAUCAAAAUAAUUAGAAGUUGAGGAUGCGCGAUUUAGAAGAAAAUAAAGGGGUUGGAAUCCUGAUAAAAGCUACCUGACGGAAAAUAAAGAUGCAAAAUGAGACAUGCACUCGAAAUGUAAUUCAAAUCCAAGAAAUUAGCUUUCGAGGACCUGUACUCAAAUGACCUAUAGCAGGGGUUUGUCCCGACAGCGUCGUAUUAAAAAAUCGGCAAUGAUUCUUACAUAUAUGAAGAAGUCGUGUAACAGCAUUCCAUAGGCGAAGAACGAGACGCUCAUCAAGAACGUCGCCAGGGACAAAUAGAAAGGCAUGAACUCUACGCUCUUCGUCUUAAUCACCAAAUUCUGAUUAAGAACGAAAAAAAAAAAAAAAAACAAUGAUAUCAUGUUUAGUUAGCCACUGAAGCAUUGUACAUAUUUUCCAACUUGAACAAGUAAUCAGAAUCUUACAAUGAUAGAUAAGGGGGAUGCGAACAUGGAUAUGAGAGAAAUGAUGCUUAAAUAUCCUACAAAGAUUUGCCGUGUCGCAUGAUCCAAUAAUUCGAGGCUGAUGUAUAUAAUGAGAGCAAAAACACAGACGACAAAUAUAAGCAAUCCGCACAUCUUCACCUGCAGAAAAUGGAUAUUUCUUUUGUCAUGUGAGUAUGCGGAAGAAAUAAACAGCAGCUCCCGGAGCUUUUGCAGAAAUGUUGUUUUAGUAGAACUCCAGUUGAAAUGGCACAAACAACUUUUUAUAUCAACGUCACAUCAACGGCUACUGGCAACAGGUUAAGUAGAAGCUUCAAAUUAGAGCUUUUGCUAUGCUGACAGAAUCCGGAAAUCCAUUCUGCUUCCCCCCGGAACAAAAGCUCCGGGCUUUCUGUCUACACCAAUGCCUCAUUUCUAGAAGCUUCUGCUUUCUAAAGUAAAGAAGCUGUUUUAGAAGCCAGGCCAAACAGAAGAUAAAACUAUAUACCUUCCUCGUUGUAUCGGCAUAGAUAAUGAAGAGGCUCACAUAGACAAGCUGGAAAGCCGCGCCGAUCGAAUUAACGGUCGCGACAAGGAUCACACCAUAGGAUACGCAAGGGAGGCCAUACCACAUACAGAUCAAGCAGUUCAGCAGGGAGUACACAUAGGGCAAACCCGAGAACUGCUCCGUCGACUUGUUUCUAAUGAUCCUCUUGUAUGUGGGUCUAAGAAAAGCAAUUCAACAUGAAAAGAAAACAUGCCUUUGUGAGUUUUCAUGUAUGGUAUGCAAUAUGGAGGAUCACACUCAAUUGGAUUCAAACAAAAAAGAAAAAAGAGUACCAAAACAUGGGCUUACAUUGGUGACAAGAACAACACAAAGGCAAAGAGGUUACCUGCAAAAGAAAAAAAAAAUAAAAAAUUAAGUUUCUACUGCAUAUAAUCCUACUUAAGCUCAUUAACAACAACAACAACAAUGAUAUAUUCUAAUAAGCUUUUUUUCUCCUGGUUCUUGGAUUGAAUCAACCUUGGAAAAAUCUAAGCCAUUAAAUUCCAAAAUUAAGAAAACACAACAAAUAUGAAAUUUUUAGGAGGAUCCAAAUGGGUAGGACAAAAAAAAAUUAAGAAAAAUUAAGUUUCUACAGCAUAUAAUCCUAAUUAAGAUCAUUAAACUAACAACAACAAUGAUAUAUUCUAAUAAGUUUUUUUCUCCUGGUUCUUGGAUUGAAUCAACCUUUGCAAAAUUUAAACCAUGAAGUUCCAAAAUUCCAAAAACACAACAAAAAUGGAAUUUUUAGGAGGAUCCCAUUUGAGAUUGAGACCACAAAAACACCAUUUUGUGAAAUGGGUAGGACAAAAAAAAAAUUAAGAAAAAUUAAGUUUCUACUGCAUAUAAUCCUAAUUAAGAUCAUUAAACUAACAACAACAAUGAUAUAUUCAAAUAAGUUUUUUUCUCCUGGUUCUUGGAUUGAAUCAACCUUGGCAAAAUUUAAACCAUGAAGUUCCAAAAUUCCAAAAACACAACAAAAAAGAAAUUUUAGGAGUCCCAUUUGAGAUGAGACCACAAAAACACCAUUUUGUGCAUAUAAUCCUAAUUAAGAUCAUUAAACUAACAACAACAAUGAUAUAUCAAAUAAGUUUUUUUCUCCUGGUUUUGGAUUGAAUCAACUUGGCAAGAUAAACAUGAAGUUCCAAAAUUCCAAAACACAAAAAAAAAUGAAAUUUUUAGGAGAUCCCAUUUGAGAUGAGACUGAAAAAAAAAAAAAAAAAAGGAUUACCUGCAACUCCUGCUGCAUAGUAACAGAGUUCAUAAAAAGAAUAUGUAAAAGAAGAAGAAGAUAAGAAAAGGAAAAGAAAAAAUCCAAAGAUCUCAUCAUAUUUCCCCCACUCUCUCUCUCUCUCUCUCUCUCUCUCUUUUCUUUCACUUUCACUUUAGAGAGAGACAGAGAGAGAUAUACAAAUGAAUAUCCACAAACACCACAACACAAUCUCUCCUCUUCUCUCUCUCUCUUCUUCUCUUCUCUUUCUCUCUAUAUAUUUAUGUAUGUGUGUAUGAGUUGAUUAGAGCAAAACACCUGUUCUUUGUCCUAAUGCCUGCUUAACUCAAAAAAAAAAAAAAAAGAAAAGAAAAAAUGGGGACAAUUACUAAUUUAUGUGUGGUUUUUCUUUUUCUUUUUUUACAUUACCAACUUCAAUUUUUUUUUUCUGCAAAUAACUCUAAUAUAUAUAUAUAUAUUAUAAUAUAUAUAUAUAUAUAUAUAUAUAUAUAUAAAAUCUUUCUACACCACAUGAGCGUCAUAUUAGUAUUUUUAGUUGAGCAUGAUAUAUUGAAUCAUCUUAUUCGUAUUCACAUUCUAAUUCCUCCUUAAGAACAAUAAAAAAUACAAAAAAAAAUACAUAAUUCAAUUAGCGUGUUUAAACACGACAAUUGAAUUAUUGUGUUCAAUUUUAAAAACGCCAUCUUGGCGCUAGCGUGGUAAGAAAAAAUUAAUUAUAUAAAAUAGAUUAUUAGGAACAUUUGUUAAAAAAAAUUGAGGUGGUUAAAUGCAAAAAAAAAAAAAAAAAACCCUUUAUGUGUCUAGCAAUUUUUUAUUUUUAUUUUUAUAUUUUUCUCUCUCUCUUUGGGAGAAAUAUAUAUACAAGUGGUAGUGAGAAGGUUUAAUUGUUCCAUUGUUCACCAUGCAUCAUUGGUCCCCAUUUUUUUUUUAAAACCCAAUUUUAAUAAUUAGAUUCUUAAUUUUUAUUAGGAUAAAUUAUAAUUUUAGUUUUCAAAGUACUUAAAUCUAAAUUUACUGUAAUUUCUGGCUCAAAUAUUCAAAAUUAUUGUAAUUAAAUUUUAUAAUCAAUUUAGUUGCUUAAAUAUUGAUAAAUUAUUUAUUAAUGUAGAAGUGAUAUAUCAUCAAUCGGAAUACUUUUAUAUUAUUUUUCUAUCAAUAAUUUAUCAAUAUUUGGCCAACUAAAUUAUGUUGUUGGACUGGAUUGCAACGAUUCCGAAAGUUCGAGCCAAGAAUUGUAACAAAUUAAAGUUUGAGGGUCAAAAUGUCACGCUCCUCAUAGUCUGAGGAUCAAAAGUGUAAUUUACCUAUAUUAUAUUAUUUAUUUUAGGGUACACUUCAACUUAACCCAUUGUGAUUUAUAUUAUAAUUUUAUUUUAUCAAAUAUACUAUAAAAUUAUUUCUAUUUAUCUUAAGAAGCUAUCAUUAAAUAAGAUAGUAAAAUAAUAAGAUAGUUAAGUGCAACAUUUUAAAUCACUGGAUGGUAAAGUAAAAAUACGCUAAAUCACAGAGGGGCAAAUUAAAGUUUACCCUUAUCAUUCAGAAACUUUAUCGACUCUAAAAAUUACCACAUAAGCACUAAAAAUAAACAAAAUAAUGGAAAGUUACAAAUUUUACAAAAAAAAAAAAAAAAACAAUAGAAGGUUAGGACUAAGUAAAAAUUAUAAGAAAGGUUGGGGACCAAUGGUGUAAUUAACUCUGAAAUAAGAAUUUUUAAGUUCCGCAUUCAAAAUUCAAAAUCUGUAAAAGAAUUUAACUUUAAUUCUUACGCAUAUUUACUAUUAAUGAAUAAACUAUUAGAUCCAUAUAAUGUGUCUCUAAUUUAAGUGUCAUAUAUUUAUCAGCCUUUCAUCUCAGAGUUUUGAAUGUUGAAUUUUUUUUAAGUGGGAGGACCAAAGAAACGUUAAUCAAAGUUCAGGGAGUAAAAUGCAAUUUUUAAACCCAUCAUUUACCCCGUAGUCGGCGUCGUUUUCGGCGCUGAUUGCCGACUUUAUGAAUCACCCGCGUUGUUCAACUUAUUCCUUAGCAUAUGCUAAGGAAAAUGCUUGCUUGAUGUGUGCUAUUACCUUUUUUUAUAGUGUGUGGUAACCCAACAUUGUCCCCCAUUCAAGUUCCAAUGAUAGGUUAAAAAAAAAAAAAAAAUCAAAUACCACUUCUCUGGUUGCGUACUUUUUUAUUUUAAUAUUCUGUGUUUUAGAAUGUAUUAUUUUCGUACUCUGUGGUUUAUUUUUUUCUUUUUAUUAUCUCCUGCACUAAUUUUUUUUUCGUUAAAUCAGUGACAAAGUUAAAAUAAAAAAAUAAUAAAGCAAAUAUUCGAUAAAUCAUAGGUGGGGUAUCUGAAGUUUUUUGAAUAUGAUUUAACGAAAAGUUAACGGAGGGACCGACGUAAAUUAAAAAUUAAAACCACAGGGUACUAAAUUGAUACAUUUUAAAUUACAGAAUACUAAAGUGAGAAAGUACGAAAUAUAUAGAAAUAGUAUUUGAAGUUUACCCUAAAAAAAAAAAAAAAAAAAGAAAUUGCUUGUGUUUUGGUGUGGUGGGUCUCCACCACUACACUACUCUUGGGCAUACUUGUGGUGGCCACACGAUUUAUUCAAAUAUUAGUCACAUCCACAUUUCACAUCCAUAAAUUACUUUGCCAUAACUUUUUCUUCUUUUUUUUUUUUCUUUUCUUUUUUCGCCCUUUUAUUUUUUUAAUAUUUUACUUUGUUUGAUGCACUCAUUGUUGUUCCUAUGUUGCCCAUGUGUUAAAUAUUGGGAUAAGCCUUUUCCACUCUAUUAUUUUAUUUUUUUAAAAACAAACAAGGGGCAAUUGCUUGUGUAUAUCUUAAAAAUUUUCGACUUUUUUAUUUAAUUUUUCUUAGAAAGUUAAAUAUUAAAAAUAGUUUUUUAACAUUUUAAGAUUUUUCAAAUAUACUCCUUAACUAAAUUUUAUUAGCGAACCGUUAGGAAUAGUUAUUAUCUCUUUGAAAUUACUAUUUUGCCUUUUUAAAUAUACCCUUUCAGUGUCACCUUAUUCUUUUACUAUCGCCAACUUUUUCUAUUUACACUUAAAUUAGAAGCAAAAUAAGUAUUUUUAUUAUUUUUAACUAUGAUAGAAAUUUAAUUCAGAUUUAAUUCGAAAUAACUUAACGGACACUGACAGCGGUGUUAUUUUUGAAUAACGAAAAAAUAUACAAGGCGUAUAUUUGAAAUAAAAAAAUAAAGAUGAAUAAAAUAUUUCAGAAAUUUUGAGAGCAUAUGGAUAAUCAGCCCUUUUUUAAAUAGCCUUCCAAAAGAGUGUAAUUUCACACAUUUAAUAAGAAAUUAAAAAAUCAUGUUACAAAAUCAAUAUAAAAAUUAAAAAUUAAAAACUAGAUACUAAAUUAAAAGAUUACAAAACAACACCUAUUAAUGAAUUGUCCUUCAAGAGAGAGCAAGGGUAAAAUCACUAUUUCAUUAACUUUGCUCGCGUUUAACUCCGAUAAACUUAGGAAAAAUAUUUGUGAUAAAAUUUAGGAAAAACUUCAAAAACCCCCCCUGUGGUUUCAUGCAUUCUCACUUUCAUACCCUGUGGUUUAAAACGUAUCAAUUUGCCCCCCUGUGGUUUUAUUUUUCUCUUUUUGUUAUCAAUUUUAUUAUUUUUUUUUUCUUAAAUCAGUAACAAAAUUAAAAUUAAAGGAUACUAAAGUGAAUAUUCGAUAAACAUAGAUGGUUAUCUGAAGUUUUUUGUAUAUAAUUUAACGAAAUAUUAACGAAAAAGCUUCUGAAAAGAUAAAAACGAAACCACAGGGGGGCAAAUUGAUACGUUUUAAACCACAUGGUACUAAAGUGAGAAUGCAUGAAACCACAGGGGGGGUUUUUGAAGUUUUUUCUAAAAUUUAUAUAUUACAUAAUAUUUUACAUUUUGAGCGUGAAUUUGUAAAAUUUCCAAACUUUCGAGUAUAAAUCACAAAGCGAUAAAGUACAAAUUACAAACUAUAAUAACUUUUUAUUAAAAAGAUAAGAACGAUAAAGUAACAAAAAUUAUAAAUAAAAAUAAGGGCGAUAGCAGAUCACUAGAAGGUUCGCGAUUAAUGUAUAAUAAUAAAAUAAAUAAUUUUCUCCUUUCUCACUUUGUGGUGUUAAUGUUUGCCUCUUCCAGCUGGACUAUUGAUCCCAUGAUAGCAACUUUUAAAAUUAAAUAAUUAAUCAUGAAAAUUUAGAUGGCUUAUUUGGAGUUUUGGACACAUUAGGGAGAAAUAAAAAUGACUCAUGUGACAGUAACAUAUCUAUAAAUAUCUAUCAUAUAUCAUAUAUUAUAUAUCAUAAAUAUACGGAUAAAUUUUAAAUAUCAUUUCUGUGAUUUCGCACUUUCUAACUUUAGAGCUAUGUGGUUCAAAGUGUAUCAAAUUAGUAUUCCGUUAAUAUUUUAUUAAAUUAUAUACAAAAAACUUCAGAUAUCUCAUCUAGAUUUAUCGAAUAUUCGCUUUAGUAUUCUUUAGUUUUAUCUUUGUCAUUGAUUUAACGAAAAAAAUAAUAGAAUCGAUAAUAAAAAUAAAUAAAUAUGAAACCACAGGACAUUAAAUUGAUACACUUUAAAUCAUAUGGUACUAAAAUGAAAAAAUAUGAAACCAUAUAGAUGAUAUUUAAAGUUUCCGUUAUAUAUAUAUAUACAUAUAUGAAUUCUCAGUUUCUGUAAACAACGUGAUACUCCUGUGUUGAUUUGGAUGGAGAGUGACUUGGGUAGAGCUUUUUUUUAUCUUUUAUAUUCAAUUUUCCUCUCUCUCUCUCUCUCUCUCUCUCUCUCCAAGUUGAUUUAGGCUUCUUUUAUCCUUCUUAUAUUUUUACUAGAGCAGCUAUUGCUUUUUCUUUAAUUUCUCCUAUUUUUAUUUUUCUUUAUUUUUUGAUUUUUUUUAUUUUUAAUGAUUUUGUUGUUUCUUCUUUCUUCAUCUCUUUUUACUUAUUUACUCAUUAGUUAAUAAUAUUAUUAUUAUAAUUUAUUUGCACAACUACAAGACCAAUACAAUCCACCAAGCUAACUAUAACACUUAAAAUUUAGUGAGGACUCUCAUGAUGAAGAGAUGACACUCUAUUUUAGGGUAAAAUGUAUGGGUAGUCCCCAAACCAUUCCAAUAUUGCAACUUGGUUCCCAUAUUUUUCACUUGAGUACUUUAUUUUGUGAACCACAAAAAAGGAAUCUCUCUCUCUAGAAGUUUAGUAAUAAGGUAUCUCAUAGUCCAUGUUUGCUUAUAUAUCUUGCUGUCUUAUAGAAAGUGAUGUUUUGAAAAGUGUUAUAAUAAGUGAAAAAAAAUUUUAAGGCUAAAUUAUGGAAAAUAUCUCUGUGAAAAUUCGUGUUUUAACUUUUUUUCUCUAUCGUUUAAAAAGCUACACUUUACCUUCUUAGAAAAUAAAAAAUGUUCACUUCGGAUCCCACAAUCCAUGUUCUAUUACGGUUCCAUCUACAUCUUAUUACUUUUUUUAUACCGAGAAUACCCUUCUAUCCCUCCUCUCAGCAGAGUCGCCUCCUUCCUUGCAAGUGACGACUUCGGUCGUGCCGUCUCGCUCUCCUCCGCCAUCUCACCCUUGCCCUCCCUCUGUUCACGCCUAUCCCGACCUCUUCCCACCAUCGCUGAAUGGAGAGAUGGUGGGAGUGCAGGAGGAACAGAGAGAGCAGGUGGAGCUAGCGGAGUCGAAGCUGGGAUCGAGCGAGGCACGAAGAAUAUAGGAGAUUAGGAGGAGAGGCUACGGACGAAGAAAGGUUAGAAAAGAGACGAAGAGAGAGGGGGUAUUUUGGUCAUUUUAUCAAUAUAGUUAAUAUCGUACUCAUGUAAACAUUUUUUAUUUUUUGAAUGAGCAAAUUUUAGGUUUUUAAAUAACAAGAAAGAAAAAUAAAAACAAAUCAGAUUUUGAUAGGAGAUUUUCUGUAAUUUAGUUAUAUUUUAGUGAUUAGUAACUAAAGUGUUAUAUAUAUAUAUAUAUAUAUAUAUAUAUAGGGUCGUAUAAAGCUCUUAUGAGUACGAUCGCCGCUCAUACUCAUAAUUUGUUGUUCGAUGAUAGGAGCUUCCGAAUCGCGAUCCACACCGUUAAACUUAUUUACAGCAUUUAAAACUUCUAGAAAUCAAAUUUAUAAUUUUUCGACAUCAGUUUACCUUAUGAUCAAGAAGGUCACGAAUUUGACAAUUUAACGGCGGUAUGGAUACUUCUAGUUUAACGAUUGUAAAAGAAUCAAAAUUGUUGGAUUUUUGAUAGAAAAUUCUAUUCACUACAUAGAUAAUGAUCAAUAACUCCGAUCUUAAAUGAAGGAUCCGAUCAUCCUUUUUAGGACGUUGUUCGAUUUUGACCGUUCAUUUUAUGCACUUAUGGACUUUAUUAUGAUUUCGAAAAUUACGAAAUUAAUUUUCUAGAAGAUUUCAAAUACUCUAGAUCAUAUUUAACGGAGUGGAUCGGUCGAUUCGGAAACUCCAUCAUUGAAACAACUUAUGAGUACGUAGGCUCAAUACUUAUAAUUUAGUAGCCAUGGCCUAAUAUAAGGGUCCGGCUACUAUAUAUUAUGAUAGCACGAUCUGCCCUCAUACUCAUAAGUUGUUUCGAUGAUAGAGCUUCCGAACGACGAUCCACACCGUAAACAUUAUUUACAGCAUUUAAAACUUCUAGAAUCAAAUUUAUAAUUUUCGACAUCAUUACCUAUGAUCAAGAGGUCACGAAUUGACAAUUUUUAACGGCCGGUAUGGGAUACUUGCUAGUUUAACGAUGUAAAAGAAUCAAAAUUUGUUGAAUUUUUGAUAGAAAAUUCUAUUCACUACAUAGAUAAUGAUCAAUAACUCCGAUCUUAAAUUGAAGGAUCCGAUCAUCCUUUUUUAGGACGUUGUUCGAUUUUGACCGUUCAUUUUAUGCCCACUUGAUGGACUUUAUUAUGAUUUCGAAAAUUUACGAAAUUUAUUUUCUAGAAGUUUCAAAUACUCUAGAUCAUAUUUAACGGAGUGGAUCGUCGAGUGAGGCUGUUUGAAGCUAAAGCUAGAAAUAUACUACUUUUAGAAGUAAUUAAGUGAGGCUGUUUAUUUUUAAAUCACUUUCAAUAAUAAAUUAUUCAAAUUGACGAUCUAUACAGUUAAACGUGGUUUAAACUAUUUAAACUUUUAAUUUUUUUAACAUCAUUCAACAUCAAAAUUAUUAAAUUUCAAUGGCUAACAUCGAGUAAAUUUGCGACCAUUUAAUUUAGCCGACAAAUAAUAUUCUAAAACCGUUAGAUUCAAUUUCUAAAAAGUUUAAAUAGCUUAUAUCGUAUUAUUAGAUGGUAUCGAUUGCCGAUACGAAUUUUCUAUCACCAAACAUAUAUAAUACAAAAGUAAACUUUCUUAUUUAUUUCUAACUCAAAUUACCAAAGUAAUUAAACUAAAUUAAACUAAAUUAAACUAAGAGUGUAGGGAUUAAUUAAAUUAUAAUAUAGAGAUUGUAUUUGUUUUAAAAAUGUUACCAUAUAAUUAACCAUGCUAACAACAAGAAAUAAAAAUUAAAAAAAGCAAAAUCGUUAAGAACGUGGAUAAGGACGAUGACUUGGUACAUUAAUUUCAGUACACACGUUUUGCACCACCGAAUAAAUUAAUUGUAAUCCUAUUAAAUUAAAUAAAUUUAAUCUUAAAUUAAGAAUAUAUAUUUGGUUUAAUAUAUAUAUAAAAUAUCUAAAUUAAUUAUAUGUUUUUACAUAAUAUGUUGUACAAGUUGUUAAUUAUAACAAAAAAUUAAAUUUUAAAAGCACUAGACAUAAAAGAAGUACAAAUUAUAUGAAAAAAUAACAAGAAAUUAUGAAACAAUGCAUAUCAUCAAAAACUAUAUAGAGUGAUCGAGAUUACGAAUAGUUUUUUUUUUUUGUACGUAAUCAAAAAAUAGAAAAAAACUUUAAAUAUCACCUCUGUGGUUUCACAUUUUUUAUUUUAGCACUCUGUAAUUUAAAAUAUAUCAAGUGGUUUCGCACUUUUUUAUUUUAGUACUAUGUAAUUUAAAGCGUAUCAAUUUAGUACCCCUUAGUUUCAUUUUUCUCUGUUUAUUAUCCCCUCCACUAUUUUUUUUCCCGUUAAAUCAGUGAUAAAGUUAAAGCUAAAAGAUAAAAAAAUAAAUAUUCGAUAAAAUUAGGUGGGAUAUCUGAAGUUUUUUGUAUAUAAUUUAAGAAAAUGUUAGCGGAAGAGCUGACGAAAAGAGAAAAAUGAAACAAUAGGAUAUUAAAUUGAUACACUUUAAACCACAGGAUACUAAAGUGAGAAAAUAUGUAUGAGAUAUGGUGUAGAGAUUAAAAAAAAAAGAAGAGUUUAAUAGCAAAGUAAUGCAAAACAUAUUGGAAGAGUGAU